UACAGAGGCCUCAAGCGUUAGGCGGAAUCACUGGGCUUAAAGCGUGUGUAGGCGGAUCGUUAAGUGUCUUGUGAAAUCCCCCGGCUCACCCGGGGAACUGCUGGGCAUACUGGGCGUCUUGGGCCAACUAGGGGCAACUGGAACAAGCGGUGGAGCGGUGAAAUGCGUAGAUAUCGCGUGGAACGCCGAAGGUGAAAACAGGUUGCUGGGGUUGUGCCGACGCUGAGACCCGAAAGCCAGGGGAGCAAACGGG
rnacentral:rRNA from 1 species